ACAUAAUUAACAUAAUCAGUUUGGAACUUUUUUCAUGCCUAAUUCACUUUCUAGUCCAAAAAUAAUGCUGUGCAAAUUAUUGGCACGUUGUUUCAUUUUCAUGCCUAAUUUAAAAAAAAAAAUCUUUUCCUUGUGCUCAAAUGCCUAUUUAGUUCCAUUUGGGCCAUUUUCUUUGAACUAAAUGCAAAUGAGGGAGGUUGCAUGUAUUUCAUAAUCUCCCUUUAAUCAAGAUCACUAUGAAGCAUCAGCCCCCUGGGUGACGGGUGACAUAAAUCAUAUUAACUUAAUUCUGUGUGUUUCAUUAAAGGAUUUAGUAUUUUUAUGAACCAGAAUAUCUGGGUCACUGCCAUAGAAGCUUCAAUCAAGCUGCAGAUCUUAUGGAGUCAAUGAUGUGUUGCUUAUUUGAUGAGAUGAAGAUGAAGUGCCUACUCCCAUCUCAUACUGGCCUCAUUAACACAUGGUUGCUUUAAGAGUUCAUGAGUUUUGGCCAGGUGCGGUGGCUCAUGCCUGUAAUCCCAGCAUUUUGGGAGGCUGAGGCAGGCAGAUCACAAGGUCAGGAGAUCGAGACCAUCCUGGCUAAAAAAUACCCCCCCACCAAAAAAAAAAAAAAUUAGCCAGGCAUGGUGGCAGGCUCCUGUAGUCCCAGCUACUCAGGAGGCUGAGGCAGGAGAAUGGCGUGAACCCGGGAGGUGGAGCUAGCAGUGAGCCGAGAUUGCGCCAGUGCACUCCAGCCUGGGCAACAGAGUGAGACUCCAUCUCAAAAAAAAAAAAAAAGUUCACGAGUUUAGAAGAGACAGUUGGGUCCUGGCCUCAGGAAACAAAGAAGAAAUCCAGAUCUUAUACAAUGUGCUGGACAUAAAAGUAUAACAAUUUUUGAUUCUCUUCCCCUUCACCAUUGAAAUCUAUGGUUUCUCUAUAUGACUGUUUUCUCAACAAUCCAAAAAGGCAAGGUUGGCAGCAUGCAAUCUGCUGAAGAAUCCUGCCUAAAUACCCUUUUCCACUUCACACUAUCUACCGUGGAGUCGUUUUGUCUCUAUUUUAUUCCUGAAUGAAUAAACUAUGACAUCCCAAACCUGAUCAUUUGUCUAUACUUCCAGUCAACCACUUCUGCGCAAUAUCUAAAUAUUUAUGUUUCUUUGUCAAAUGACAGGACCAAGAAUGUUUCUGUAAUAUUCAUGAGAACAAAGGAGUUGUCAAGAGAAGAAUCUUUGCUUCCUGAAGAAUGGACAUGAAAAAAGCUGGGAAGAAAGAUUGGGCCCACAGUUUACAAAGGUUUCAAACAUCUAGAACCUGUCAAAGCCAAAAUAUCAUUUGGGGCUAUGCCAGAUGUUUUCCCACCAGGUCAGAAAGUUUCCAGCAUACUGCAUGGUAUGGAGUAGCAGUUUCCAGCAUACUGCAUGGUAUGGAGUAGCAGUUUCAAGCAUACUGCAUGGUAUGGAAUAGCAGUUUCAAGCAUACUACAUGAUUUGGAAUAGCUGUUCAGUAAGUGUUCCAUAGGGAAGGCAGGAGGGAGAGAGGAAAGAGUUAUUGAGUCUAAACUUGCAAAGAAAGCUGGAAAAAGACCGAUUUCCAACAAUGUUGCAGAAAUUAAUGAUUAGGAAAAAGCAGAUUACCAUUCUACACUAUAUUCUGAAAGAAAAUAUUUCAAAAUGCUUAAAAAUUGAAAAUUAAAAAUUAUAUGGGAUUUAGUAGUACUUACAUUCCCAAAAUAUUAAUAUUUAAGAGGAAAAAUUAAAUGAAAUUUAAAAACUGUUGUAAGGAAACAAAAAUGCAAUGGAAAUUUUGCAUCUAAUAUCCAGAUAAAAAUAAUAUGUUCUAAGCAUAAUACUAAAGCCAAGAACCAUAAAGGAAAAAGUUCGUAAUGACUAUAUAACACCUAUAUAAAAUGAAAUGACAACUAACAAAUUAGAAAUAUUUAUAACAGACAGUUUAUAACUUUCUUACAAAAUCAUAAGUUAAAAGCUCUUAUAAAUCAGGUUUGGUGGAUAUCUAAAGAGAGAAAAGGUAAAAUAUACUCAUCUAUUUUUACUUUCAUCCACAUCAGUGUUUAUAUAUUUGAAAGCUUUGCUAUUCAGUGCAUGCAAAAUUGAGAUUAUUAUAGCUUCUUGAUUUAUUAUUUUAUCAUUGUAAAAUGUAAUUUAUAUGGUCCUGGUAAUAUUCCUUGUCUUUAAGUCUAUGAUGUUUGAUAUUAAUAUAACAGUUCCCUCUUUCUUAAGAUUACUAUUUGCUUGAUAUAUCUUUUCCAUACUUUUAACCUAUAGAUGUCUUUAUAUUUUAAAGUACAUUUAUUAUAGAUAGCAUAUGUUGGAUCUCUUUUACCUGGUCUGAAAACCAAUUUUAAUUGUGGUGUUUAGGCCAUUUACACUUAACAUAAUUAUAAAUAUUGUGUUUCAGUCCACCAUCUUGCUAUUUGUUUUGUAGUUGAUUCACCUGUUCUUUGAGUUUUUUCCCCCCACUUUUUUUUUGCUUUUCUCCAGAUUGACAGAAUAAUUUUAAAAUGAUUUCCUUGUAUCUCCACAAUGGAUGUUUUCUCUAUGUCACUUGUUUUGCUUUGUUUUAGGUGGUGGUUCUAGAGAUCACGCUAUGCAUUCUUACCUUAUAAUUGUCUUUCCCCCAAUAAUAUUAUAUCACUGCAUGUAAAGUGUAAGAGCCUUACGACAUUAUAUUUCCAUUUCCCCACUGUUUACUCCCACCCAUAUUAACAGAAUCAGGGUGGAGCAUGUAGCAUAUGACCACCAAAAAUGCACAGAAAAAUACAUGACAAAAUAUUAAGACUCAUUUAUGGUAAAACCUUGUAGCAAGCUAGGAAUAAAGGGCAGCUCUUCAAUUUAACAAAGUACAUCUAUGAAAAACCUACAACUAACAACUUGUUAAAGACUGAAUGCUUCCUCCCUGGGAUCAGAAGCAAGGAAAAGACAUCUUCUCUUACCACUCCUAUUCAACACUGUGCUAGAGGUUUUGCCCAAUAAGGUUAAAAAAGAAUUAAAAUGUACACAGAUUUGAAAGAAAGCUGUCUUCAUUUGCAGAUUAUAUGACUGCAUAUGUAGAUAAUCCUAAGAAAUCUAUAAAAAUAGCUACAAGGCUGAGGCGGGUGGAUCACUUGAGGUCAGGAGUUCAAGACCAGCCUGGGCAACAUGGUGAAACCCCGUCUCUACUAAAAAUACAAAAAUUAGCUGGGCAUGGAGGCACGCACCUGUAAUCCCAGCUAAUCGAGAGGCUGGGGCAGGAGAAUCACUUGAACCUGGGAGGCAGAAGUUGCAGUGAGCUGAGAUCAUGCCAUUGCACUCCAGCCUGGGUGAAAGAGGGAGACUCCAUCUCAAAAAAAAAACACAGAAUAAAAAUAAAUUAAAAAUUAGCUACAAAAAUAAUAAGUACAUUGAGAAAGCUUACAAAAUGCAAGGUCAAUACACAAAAUUUAACUAUAUUUCAAAACACUAGCAAUGGACAAUUCAAAAAAGAAAUUUUAAAAACUAAUACCAUUUACAAUAGCAUAAAAAUAUUAAAAUUAUUUAAUAAAAUAUGUAUAAAACCUAAAUACUGAAAACCAAAAAACGUUGCUGAAAUAAAUUAAAGAAAUAAACCAUCUCCGUAUUAGUCCAUUUUCACACUGCUAUAAAGAAACACCUGAGACUGGGUGAUUUAUAAGGGAAAAGGCUUAAUUAACUCACAGUUCCACACGGCUGGGAGGCUUCAGGAAACUUAAAAUCAAGGCAGAAGGCUUAGGGGAAGCAGGCACCUCUUACAUGGUGGCAGGAGAGAAAGACAGAUAGCACAGGAGAAAAUCCCAUUUAUAAAACCAUCAGAUCCUGUGAGAACUCACUCACUAUCAUGAGAAUAGCAUAGGAGAAACCGCCCCCAUGAUCCAAUCACCUCCCACCAGGUCUCUCCCUCCACGUGUGGGGAUUACAAUUUGAGAUAAGAUUUGGGUGGGGACACAGCGCCAAACCACAUCAAUCCUCAUGGAUUGAAAGACUCAGUAUUAUUAAAAUAUCAGUUAUCUCUAAAUUGAUCUAUAUAUUCAAAGCCAUCUUAAUGAAUUUCUUACAGGCUUCCCUUAAAAACGACAAACUAAUUCUAAAAUGCAAAUGCAAAGAAUGUAGAAUACCCAAAAUAAUUUUGAAAAAGGAGAGUAAUGUUGGAGGACUCAUAUUACCUGACUUCAAGAAGUACCAAAAAAUACGGUAAUUAAGAAAAUGUGAUAUUAACUUAAUAAUGGGCAUGUUAUUUUGGAACUAAAAACAGACUCCAGAAAUAAAACCAUACAUAUAUAGUUAGUUGGCUUUUCUGUCUAAGAAACCAAGCUAAUGUAAUAGGGGAAGGAUAACCUUUAAUAAGUGGUGCUAAAACAAAAAAAAAUGAAAAUGAAUUUCAACUCAUACUUCACACCAUUCACAAAGUUAUUUCAAAAUGAAUCACAGUUGAUAAUGUAUUGGCUAAUACUAGAAAACUUCAAAGAGAAAAUGUAAGUGAUCACAUUUACAACCUUGUAAUAGACAAAGAUUUCUCAAAACACAAAAAGAGCAAGAACUAUAAUAGAAAAAAAAUAAUACUUUGGACUCCAUCAAAAUUAAAACCUUCUGGUCUUUGGAAGAUAUCAUAGAUACCAUCAACAAAAUGACAAGGCAAGCCACAGACUAGAAGAAAAUAUUAGCAAUAUACAUCUGACAAGGGAUUUACAUCCACUAUUUAUAAAGGAUUCCACUAACUCAAUGAUAAUCCAGUUAAAAAGUGGGCAGGAUUUGAACUGGCACUUCAUGAAAGAAGACAUAUGAAUGGCCAGUAAGUGCGUGAAAAGAUGCCCAAUAUCACUAGCCAUCAGCAAAUGCAAAUUUGAAUCACAUUGAGAUACGACUACACACCCACUGGGUGGGCUAGAACUUAAAAGGCUGAUGAUAGCAAGUGUUGACAAAGAUAUGGAACAACUGGACCGCUCAUAGAUUGCUUUGGAUGUAUAAACUGUUACGACUUUGGCAUCUUCUUGUGAAAUUAAACAUGCAUUUACUGCACAAUUCAAUAAUUCCUUUCCUAGGUAUUUAUCUAAGGGAAAUAAAAACACAUGUCCACAAAAAAUCACUUGUAUACAGAUGUUCGUUGCAACUUACUUUUAAGGCUAAAACUCAGAACAACCUAAAUGUCCAUUUGCAAAUGAGUGGUAGGCAAAUUGCGUAUAUCUGUGUAAUGCAAUAUUAUCCAGUAAUAAAAAGAAAUAACUACUGAUGCUCUCAACAUGGAUGUGUGUCAAAAAUGUUAUGCAGAGUAAAUGAAUACAGACUCAAAAGAGUACAUGUUGUAUGACUCUGUAUAUAUAAAAGUAAAGAAUUAUCAAAAGGCCUCUAUAGUGACAGCAAACAAAUUAGUGAUUGUCUGGGACUAGGACAAAACGACAUGGGGUAACUUUUUAGAAGGACAAAAAUAUUCUAUAUCUUUAUUGGCUCGUGGUUACAUUGCGUGUACGUUUGUUAACUCUUGCGGAACAUACCUGUAAAGUGAGUGUAUUUUUUAUACUGUAUGUACAUAAUAAUUUCAUCAAAUUGAUUUUAAAAAACAAAAAUAGUAUAUCAUUUUGCAACUAUCAACCUGACAAAAAAUUUAAGAUGUGAGGACGUGAGGACAGGAUGCUUUCAUACACAUCAGGUAGGAAAAUGAAUGAGUGAAAACCUUCUAUUAGAGAAGGGUGCAACACUUAGCCAAAUCCUUAACAAUGGAUGUAUUCUGUUUAAUAAUUUUUUUUUCAUUCCUUCCUAGGACUAAAUUCUAAGUAAACAAUUAAAAUGUACAAAGGCUUAGCUAUGAGAGUGCUUGUCUAAAUGUUAUCAUUGAAAGUAUUGAAAAUAAACUAUCCCAAAAUAGGAGCUUGGUUAAGUAAAUUAUAUUCAUGCAAUAAAGUGUCAUGCAGUCACUAAAAAGGAUGGGAAAUUAUAUCUGUUGAUAUCAAAAUACAUUCAUGAUAUCUGAUUAAAUGUUUAAAAGACACAUUUAUAAAACUGUAUCAUACACUCUUACUUUUGUUCAAAUGCAAUAAAAAGGCCAGGAAAUGCCAGGAGCUAUUAUUGGUAGUUUUACCUAGAUGAUAGGACUGUGAUGAGGUUUUCUUUCUCUUUCUCCAGUUUAUUUGCAUGUUUCCCUUUAUUUCAAAUGCACACGUAAUGUUUUUGUAAAGACAAAAUUAGAAGUGUAUGUUGUUAUAGCAAUUAUUGUUCUUAAAAGGUAAAGUAAAGGGUAGCCUGAGAGGCGAGGUGCUGUGUGGAACAUUAUUAAGGUAAGCACUGGGGUGUGACAGAGGCUUGGACUUUAGUCUCUGUCAUGGACAGAUACUAGACCCAGGUGGGGAGCCCUUUUUGGCUUCCUUCAUUGCCAUCUGACUUCCUACUACUUCAGGCCCUCAUGAUAUGAAUUAUUUUAUGCCUUUUCUCAACCUAUGGACUCUUCUUGAUAAAUCAACUUUGAAAGAAAGCUGCUGCAGGGACAGCAACCAACAUUAAUGAUGACAGUCAAGUGAAUUUGGCGAAAUGAUUUCAUUUCCUGGGAACGUACACUCCUCCACGAUACUUUAAACUCCAUGAAGGGAACAACUAUCUACCAUAAAAUAUAAGAGCCUGACACCUUCAGCUGGUAUAAGGUGGUCCUUGGCAGAGCUCAGCACGCGGUGGAUAACAGCACUUAAACAUUCACCGCAAUAAAAUACUCUUGUUGGAAUUCCUUGAGACCUUUUCAAAUGCCUCAUGGCCAAAUACCCAGCAAGUAUCCUUGAAAUAAUUUGAGCACUAGAACUGAGAAUUGAUGUGUAAAUGACGCAUGGCUGCUAACAGCCACGUGAGGUCUUAGAAGGAAAGGUUAAAAGAAUUCGGUUAAUUACCUUGGUGGGAAGAAAGUUGAAGAGAAAUUUAAUAGCUAUCAUUAAGAAUCUGAAAUAUUAUUAUAAAUAGAUUGUUUCCGAACCAUUCUCAAUUUCCACAGAGAGCAAAGCUUUUGGAGCAGCAAGAAGUCAAAUAAGACAUUGGUAAAGAACUUUCUGAUUCAGCACUGGAACAGGCUACCAAGAGAUGAAGUAUUCAUUCCUGGAAACCUUUCAGAAUAGCAUAGACAACUCACUGUUCAAUUAACCUGGAUCUAGCCCUGAAUCAAAGAAUUAAACAAAUGCUCCUUGUGUUUCCUUCCCAUAUUAGGGAGGUGUAAUUCUAUCUUAACUAGAAAGUCACUCCAUCAAAAGAAUGCCAGAGAAUUCACUGAAGUGGCCACAAAGGGCUUCAUGUUAAUUUUUUAAUGACGUGUAAGAAUGAUAUUCAUUAAAUUUAAAAAGCUUUAUACAUUGUGGAAGUGACACAGGAUUUUUCUCAGCCCCUUUGCUGGACUCGCAGCAGGGGCAUCCCAUCUACUUGGCCUGCUGCACUCAGCCCCUUGCAGGAGGGAGCAUGUGAGCAAGCAAGUUUGGGAUCUGGCCGGCCACUCCAAGCACCAACACAGGAGCAAGCUCCAUACAGGGCCUGUGACCAGACCAGGCAUGUCACCUUGAGAGGGUGCUUGUGACCCUGAAGCCCCAGAGGGGGUGUGUGUGUGCUAAUUAGCUCUUUUAGUGCCUCUAUCCACAGCCUGAUGGACGGCAGCAUGUUAGCAGCUCAGCUGGUCCCUGGCCCUACUGUGUGGGGUGGCUGCCCUCUGCCAGUGAGGGCAAAAGGCCAGUGUGACAGCCUUUCUGGGUACCUGCACUUGGUGGGUCCCGAGCUCUUGUCCAGCAUCCAAGAAGAAUGAGGAUACAUGACAAUUGAAGAGUGAGCAAGGCAGGGAGUUUUACUGAGUGAUGAAACAGCCUUCCAUGGAGAGGAGACAUGGGGAUGAUCCCCCUAACUGAAGGCAGGAAAGUCCCCCCAGUGUGGCUGAGUCCGGGGGUUUAUGGCCUCAGAAUAGGGGAGGGGGCAGGCCGCAGAUAGUAUUGGAAAAGGCAACAUUUGAUUGGUUAGAAGGCAUUAUUCAGAAAGAAUCAACCAGGAAAGUGGGGGCAAACAGGAACAGAAGUUCUCACACUGGGUUGUGGGUUUCAUCCAGGACCAGCAGUCUGGUCUUCCAGCCUUCAGGCUGUUUUUUGGCUUGAAGGUGGGGUUUCACUGGGGACCCACCCCUGUCUGCCUGGGCAUUUGGCUGCCUCCUGUUGCUAUCAGAAGUUGUGCAUGUCUAGCCUUAAAAAAUUGCAGCCAAUGGAAACACUGCCUAUUGCAAUGAAAUGUAAAACAAAUUAUAUAAACUUUGCACCCUGGAAAAAACUUUCAAGGCAUUCUAUCAUCUACCAUCAACCAUGCAAAUGUCUAAACUUAUGCGAACUGUCAAGCAAUAAAUUGGAAGGAUCUGUGUGCUUUUUUAUAGAGAUGUAGUCUUCCUUGGCCCUACCCACAAACAAUAAAAAAAGUUAAGGAAAUUAAUGUAUUUUCCCAAAUUAUUUGAAAAUGUCACUCUUUGUUCAGAACUGCUAAGACCUAAGGUCCAAUUAGGUCCCAGUAGUCGAAAUGUUAAAUCACAACAAAGCCACUUAAGGGGAUAUUAACAACACCUUGCUGAAAUUCCACAUUGAAACAGGCUGGUAGUGCAUUCGGUUUAAAUGACCUCAGUUGAUUUAGGACUCAGUUUGCAACAAUGGUCCCCAAAGCUUCAGCUAUGAAUGCUUGUCUUGUGGGGUUUUCCUGCAGCUUUCCAAACCUUUCCCUCAGGGCUGCAAAUUUUAGGCAUAAAGCUCAGGCUUAGAAGUGAGACUCAAGGGUCUAGAGGCUUUUUUUUUUUUUUCCCUCCUCCGUGGACUUGAGGAAAGCAAGUCACUAGCAAACUUUUGUUUCUCAGUCAAAUUCCAGCUCCCAGAGCAAUAAUUAACAAUUAGCAUUGGCACCAAAAUAAAACACCAGUAUCUUUUGGCCAAGAGGCAAAGACAACACAUUAGGCAUUUAGCAUCAGUUAAUGAAUAAUUAUUAAUUAAUCAAGUCUCAAAUAAAUAGCCAUCUUUAGUUUUGCCAGAGACUAUUUACUUUCAAAUUAUUCCCUCAUUACCAGUAACAAGCAAUUUGAGGGGCUGUACUAUGGCAUCAAUUUUAUUAAUGCCACAUUGGAAAGACAAUCAUAACAAUAAAACAGCACACAGCUGUUAGAAGGGUUUUUCUAUAUGUAUUAAUCAUGUAUUCAUAAUAGAUUUUAAUAUUCUACAUCAUAAACUGCAGUGUUUUAAAUAUAGGAUGGGCAAAAAGAUGAGGCAGUAAUGAAUUCAUCACACUUACCGAUUCUUAUAAUAAAGUCUUAAAGAACAUCUCCCUAUAUUUUGCAAAGAUAUCUAGCGUUGUGUAAACCAUUGUUACCAAAAUAUUAUUGUUAAACAAUAUUAUUAAUUAUAAUUUACAAAACUGCUAAAUAAGAAGCUUAGCAAUAUAUUUCUUCAUAGUUUAUGGAUCUCCUUGAAAAGGAAAUGCUUUUCCCAAUUUGGUUCUGGGUAAAGAUGGGCAGUAAGCAGUUUCAACAGUAGCUAUCUCAGCUAAUUAUGGAUUAUAUUGGGCAAACUCUUAAUAUUUUUGUUUUAGUGUUGAAAAGAGAAGACUCUAGGAUAUAGGGCUCAGCUACAAGAAAAUCAGAACAGAGAAAGCAGCAAAGAGAUUGGUUGCACAUUUGUAAA
rnacentral:lncRNA from 10 species